GAUUCGAAUCUAUGGUAACAAAGAUAGGCAUUGUGACCAAGUAUAACUGGUCCAAAAAUAACUGAGAAGGGUCAAGUGAGUCAUCAGGUACUGUGAGAAUGUGGUGGUCCCAUGACUGAGAUCCAUCCAUUUAUGGAGCUUUUAGUACUCUAGACACAAAGCACUUCCUUUACCAAAAUGUGGGUACCUGAAAGAGUGACACAUGGUGUCUGACAAAAAGUGUUUUUCUAUGUGUAAAGAGUGUUCUUUCCAUAUGUGUUUAACUUAGACACAGCUUGAAUAGGGACAAAGAAAGUUCAAAGAUUUUGUAAGAUGAGAGAAAGUAAAACAAAGCAAAAUGAAACAUUAAAAACACAUACAAACAAAAAUAAUAAAGAAAAUGGCAAAAACACAAUUUCCAACAAGAAUAUGGUCCAAUAUUCAAAUGAAUUAUUUACAAUAUAUCCAGAAUUAUAGUGAGUCAAAUAUUCAAUAUUUUAAAAAAAAAUAUUUUUUUCACUAUAGCCUAUAAGAUAAAGUCAAAAUACUAUUUUUCUGAUCCCAUCACAUUCUUAUAGUCAUAUGAAAUGAUUAGUUAAUUUCCAAAUAAGACAUUCAUUUCAAAAUAUUGUCCUUUCAGCUGGAAUGCCUUUGCCGCUUAAUCCCUUGCAACACUUUCUAAAAAUUCCCCUGCCUAAUAUAUUUCCACAUAAUACAAACAGCAUUUAAAUGUUCCUUUCAGAGAAAGUUCAUUCUUAUAUACCCCUGCAACACAUCCUACAUAUCUUUAUUACAGUCUGUGCCACAUUAUCAAGUGACUGUUGACAUGUCUGUGACAUUAUAUAGUUUGUGUAAGCAAGGAUAUUUUGUUUUCAUUUUUUGUAUUUGUAAUAUUAUACAUCAUAUGGAAAAACAAAAAUUUUCGACAUCUCUAAGUGAUAAAAAUGAGUGAAGGAUAUACGUUUGGAUAUUUUUCUCACAGUUCAAGUUUGUCAAUAAGAACUAUUCUAAACAUGCUAUUUUCUAUUCAAAAUCUCAUUGGUAAAGUUAACUCAUCUUAAAGUUUCCUUCUGAUUAAAAAUUAGUUAUCCUGCCAAGAGUAUUUCUUUCUUUUUUUUUUAAAUUGGGGAUGCCUUAAUUUAUUUAUUUAUUUAUUUUUACAGAAUAAAAUACAUACAUUUACACACAAUUACAUUCACACAGAUUAUUAUAACAUGGAUCUUAAGAAACAGAUUAAGUGACUCCCACUGGAGAAGUGGAAUGGAAAAUAUGCUAAGACAAAUAUGAAAUUUAUUCUAUACUUUAUCCCAAUUUUAUGGCUUUCAUCUUUACUACUUAGUUUUAUCUAUUACAUUUCAAUUUUUCUUUAAAAAUUAGCAUUAUAUUAAAUUGUUAUAAUAUGCGACUAAAGUUUAUAAAGAAGAAAGUCUUGGAGUUCCCGUUGUGGCGCAGUGGUUGACGAAUCCGACAAGGAACCAUGAGGUUGCGGGUUCGGUCCCUGCCUUGCUCAGUGGGUUAACGAUCCGGCGUUGCCGUGAGCUGUGGUGUAGGUUGCAGACAUGGCUCGGAUCCCGCGUUGCUGUGGCUCUGGCGUAGGCCGGGGGCUGCAGCUCCGAUUCGACCCCUAGCCUGGGAACCUCCAUAUGC
rnacentral:lncRNA from 1 species